rnacentral:rRNA from 1 species
AUUGAACGCUGGCGGCAGGCCUAACACAUGCAAGUCGAGCGGGGUUUUCGGACCUAGCGGCGGACGGGUGAGUAAUGCGUAGGAAGCUGCCCGAUAGAGGGGGAUACCAGUUGGAAACGACUGUUAAUACCGCAUAAUGUCUACGGACCAAAGUGUGGGACCUUCGGGCCACAUGCUAUCGGAUGCGCCUACGUGGGAUUAGCUAGUUGGUGAGGUAAUGGCUCACCAAGGCGACGAUCUCUAGCUGGUUUGAGAGGAUGAUCAGCCACACUGGAACUGAGACACGGUUCAGACUCCUACGGGAGGCAGCAGUGGGGAAUAUUGGACAAUGGGCGAAAGCCUGAUCCAGCCAUGCCGCGUGUGUGAAGAAGGUCUUCGGAUUGUAAAGCACUUUAAGUUGGGAGGAAGGGUAGUAACCUAAUACGUUGCUACUUUGACGUUACCGACAGAAUAAGNACCGGCUAACUUCGUGCCAGCAGCCGCGGUAAAGUAGACGUCUC